GUGCUCGCUUCGGCAGCACAUAUACUAAAAUUGGAACAAUACAGAAAAGAUUAGCAUUUCUCAGGAAUUUCUGGAGUUAUUUUUUGAUAAUUUUUGCACUUUCAU